AUUUUCUUUUUAAAGUAGCAGAAGCUCUGGACAAUCUGGGAGUUAUAAAUGUAACCUCUGGACAGCCAACACAGGGCCUGUGGCUCAGACCUUUCCACUGAGGCAUCUCCCAGUUUCCUUAGGGUGGUGAGGGGGAGAUGGAAGGACAGGAAAAAUGCCUGUCAAGACAGAAGACCUGAGACCAUCGGCAAAGGCAACCUUUCUGGGUGGUCCACCGUGAGAGAAGAGUUCCCAGGUCUCCUCUGCGAGGUGGGUCACGAUGAGGUCAGUCCUCAUGCUCAAGGCCAACAUCCAGGAGGGAGGCUCAAGAAUCGCUUGACUGCACCAGAAUUCCGACUUCACAAAAGUGAAGAUGAACCUAGAAAAUACUGAAGCAUACAACAAUGCCAACUGUAUGCUGCAUGGAACCUUUCUGAUACUGGGGACUAGGGGAAAAGGCUCCUUCCCACAGGCAGGAAGGGCUGUCUUCCUGUAAGGCCGAGCUCGGGAGCUCCCAAAUUUUGGACCAGGAAGAUAACCAAACCUUCUGGAAACCAGCUUUUUAUUUUGCCACAUAAGGACCUUAAAAAUAAAAUGUUUAAAAAAAAAACCCAACCCCUCAACAUUUACUUGGACCAUUAUGCCAUAAUGA